rnacentral:rRNA from 1 species
AUUGAACGCUGGCGGCAGGCCUAACACAUGCAAGUCGAGCGGAUGAAGGGAGCUUGCUCCUGGAUUCAGCGGCGGACGGGUGAGUAAUGCCUAGGAAUCUGCCUGGUAGUGGGGGAUAACGUCCGGAAACGGGCGCUAAUACCGCAUACGUCCUGAGGGAGAAAGUGGGGGAUCUUCGGACCUCACGCUAUCAGAUGAGCCGAGGUCGGAUUAGCUAGUUGGUGGGGUAAAGGCCUACCAAGGCGACGAUCCGUAACUGGUCUGAGAGGAUGAUCAGUCAACUGGGAGUGAAAGACGGUCCUGGGUCCGACAGGAGGCACAGAGUGGGAAGAUUGGACGAUGGGCGAAAGCCUGAUCCAGCCAUGCCGCGUGUGUGAAGAAGGUCUUCGGAUUGUAAAGCACUUUAAGUUGGGAGGAAGGGCAGUAAGUUAAUACCUUGCUGUUUUGACGUUACCAACAGAAUAAGCACCGGCUAACUUCGUG